ACCUCCCCUCCCCAGCCCUGCCCCUCACUCCUCGAGGCAUGGCUGGCCUGUGGCUCUGCAGCAGCUCGUGGGAGCCCGAACACGGGGACAGUGCAGCCCUGGCCGCAGCAGCACAACACAGCAACCCUAAGAGCGAGAGCAGACCUGAACCUCCUGCUGGGACAAGACAUCAAGCCUCACAGCAGGACAAGCACAGAACCCUCAGAGGAAAAGAAGACCCAUUGCAAAAAGGGACAAAAAUAUUCCUCCCUUCCAACCCAAACUGUUCCGUGAUCCCGUGUUAUCUUCCUUGGAGGCAGAACCAGCAGCACUCAGAUGAAUGUAUGUCACAAUCCAGGAGUAAAGAAUUUCUUUCUAAAUCCCUAAAAGGCAAACUAUUCUGGGAAGGAAGCACAGGAAUCAAGGUGACACAUUCUGCAGCAGCAGCAGGUGGGGUGAUUUCACUGCCUAAAACCCAACAGCUUUGCUGUUGUUUUUGUUCCUUUUAUACUCUUCCUUUAACAAUCCCGUGUUAAUUUGAGGACUCCCAGGUUAUUGGGAAGGCUGGGAAGCUGUGUCAGCAGCAGAGCAGCUGCUCAAAUCACUGUGACCUCCCAGUUUAUGGAGCACUUUGCCCCCUGCUACCCCAAACACAUUUGGCACAGGGAGCCCUUCAGCUGUCUUCCCCUCCUGAAGGGAAUGCCUUCCCCUGGGAAUGGUGCUCGGGAUUUGGUGGAAGCUGCGCCUCCUGCCUAUGGGCUGCUCCUUCCUCCUGCCCCCUUGGGGACAGAUCCCAUUUUUCACCAGGAUCCCCAUCUUUCAUUUCCCAGGAAGGUGUGUUUGUCUGCGCGUUCCCAGCAGGAGAACCACGAUGGUGGAUGUCUCUGUAAGGGCAGGAAAGGAGCAAAUCCCCUCCAGACACACCAGGACAGGGCUAUUCCAUGAGCCUAGGCUGCAAUUUGUCAUCCUGGCAGCUUAAUUAGCCUGGGCAGCACAAUGCCCAGCAUGGCACCUGUGUGUGUCUCCAUCCCUGGGCACAGUCCUGCCUCUCCUGCCCUCCCUCCCUCACCUUUUGGAAGGAAAGGAAGGAGGAGGCAGCGGUGGAGCCAAGAAUGAGAGCCUUGAGAUCACCACUCCCCUCCCUGUGCUUCUCCUGGCCUUAAUAAUUCCUCCCACGCCCCCAUCCAUGUUCAAGGUCUGUGCCUUGAUGUCUCCUCAGAAUUCCCACCCUCAGCCCCCAGGUGUUUAUGCAUUUCCAGCCUGCAAGGCAAAAGUGUGCAGCAGUAAAUUAAACUGCUGGGAGAGACAUAAAUUUAUUAUUCCUGGCUUGGUGAUGGGGUAAAGUUUUAAGUUUAUCCUUCAUGUUCCUCAUUUAAACCAUGGUGAUUAAUCAGCAAUGAGCAAUUUGUUUCCCACCCCCCUCUCCCUAGGACUAGCUCUGUGUAAUGCUAAAUCUGAGCAAAGGCUGCUCAAAUAUUUGAUAUAUUUAAAACCUGCACUUUCCUUUUUCAUUAAAAGAGCCUCUCACCCGCAUUUCUGAGAUAACAACUUGGAAUCAAGUAGCUCUUUGUGAAUGCUGGGAGAGCGACGCUGUCUAGGUCUGAUGUCUGAAAUGUAACACAUUAAAAAAUAAUCAUCUUUCUACCUGUGCAAAAUUCAUCAGAUUAAAUAAUGGCCUUAAUACGAUUUCUCUGGUGACCUUUAUUGAGGAAAUAAAUUCUUCCUGAGAUACUAAAAAUAACCAUGACAAAGCAGAGUUUCUCUAAACUCUGGUGUUGUCAUUCUCUCUAAACUCUUGAAACAAAUCUAAACCUCCCUCCAGCACUACAACAUUCAGUUCUGCAUCAUUCUCUAGAAGCAUCCCAUCCCUGGAACCUCAAAAAUCUGCCCCAGAAUCUCUGCCUGGAUUUCUGUAGCAUUCCCAGGAACACCUGCCCUGAGAACAGCCCCAGGCCGGCUCUCACAUUCCAGUUAGUUAGGUACCAUGCCCACAAUCUUCUGGGAGCAGAAAACAUGAUCUGGAGUGGCAAGCAUUAAAAAAAAAGGUUAAUUUUGGCUUUACUGCCCUAAAAAGAUGAUGUUUCCUAUUCUCUAAGUAGCUCAACAGAACUUUGAAGGUGAAGAGAAAGGCUUUCAACAGUUUGACUCAAGAUUUUGUCCAUUCUCUUAGAAGAGCUGCAGAAGAGCCACUGCAGAGACACUUCCCUUCCCCAAAUCCAUUUGGGAAUCCAACACAAACUUCUUUGCUGUUUUCUCCUCCAAGCAAAACUUCCAGGACCUCAUGGAAGCCAAAUAUUGCCUAAACCCCACAGGUCUGUGCAAAGCACAGCAACUCCACAGGAAUC